CUACGGGGCGCAGCAGUGGGGAAUAUUGCACAAUGGAGGAAACUCUGAUGCAGCAACGCCGCCUGGAGGAUGACACUUUUCGGAGCGUAAACUCCUUUUAUAUAGGAAGAAGAUGACGGUACUAUAUGAAUAAGCGCCGGCUAACUCCGUGCCAGCAGCCGCGGUAAUACGGAGGGCGCAAGCGUUGCUCGGAAUCACUGGGCGUAAAGAGCGUGUAGGCGGAUUAAAAAGUCAGAAGUGAAAUCCUAUAGCUUAACUAUAGAACUGCUUCUGAAACUCUUAAUCUAGAAUAUGGGAGAGGUAGAUGGAAUUUCUGGUGUAGGGGUAAAAUCCGUAGAGAUCAGAAGGAAUACCGAUUGCGAAGGCGAUCUACUAGAACAUUAUUGACGCUGAGACGCGAAAGCGUGGGGAGCAAACAGGAUUAGAUACCCGGGUAGUC
rnacentral:rRNA from 1 species